ACUAGAUCUUUAUGUAGCUCUGGUCAUGUAAUGAUGUCACCAUGGAGACUGCCUCGCACAAACCGAUCGGCAACCAUUGAAGUCUGAUUGUUGACGAUACUUUUAUUUAUUUAUUUAUUUUUAAUUAAAAAUUAUAUUUUAUUUAAACGCACAAAUACUUCACUUCAAAGUACAACAAUCCACUUGACUUUUAUUUUGAAGUUUAACUUCAACUUUUUUCUAAUUUAAUUUUCUAAUGUUUUUAAUGUUAUUGAUCCUGUGGAGAUCCAUCAGCACUUCUCUCCCAUUUCAGGCUCCGCCUCCUCAGAGGGGCGGCGCUUACAAGGUCCAGCAAGUGACCAGAGCACAAUACUGAAGACCAAAGGAUAAAUUCAGAGGAGGUGGAGCCUGAAAUGGGACACAGCUGAUGCUUCCAGCUGCCUUCGAUGUCACAAGAUAUUACGACGCCUCAGUGAGGAAGUACGGCAGCGAGUUACUGACGCUAUUACGUAAUAUUUUUGCUCAGUUUCUCAUGAAAACGUCAUUUUUUUCUCACAUUAUAACAAGAGAUUUGUUAUGAUAUGACACAUUUUUUUGUUAUCAGUACAUACCAAAUAAUUCUUUUACAUAACUUAUCAUUUUAUCUUAUAUGAUAAACACUUUUUUUUGAUUUGUAGUAAAAACAAAACGUUUCUUGUUGAAACAGAAUCAUUUGGUAUCUAGUGAUAACGAAACAUAAAAGUCAUAAUAACAUGACCUUAAACAACCUUAGACUGAAAUCUGAGCUUAUUUUUUCAUCAUGGUGACAGCAUUACACUGCCAUGAGGAAGAACUUUUAUAGACCUCAAAUUUCUCAACAGAAUGUUUCUCAUCUGGGU